AGAGUUUGAUCAUGGCUCAGAACGAACGCUGGCGGCAGGCCUAACACAUGCAAGUCGAGCGCCCCGCAAGGGGAGCGGCGGACGGGUGAGUAACACGUGGGAACAUGCCCUUUGGUUCGGAACAACUCAGGGAAACUUGAGCUAAUACCGAAUGUGCCGGUAACGGGAAAGAUUUAUCGCCAAAGGAUUGGCCCGCGUCC
rnacentral:rRNA from 1 species